rnacentral:tRNA from 1 species
GGGAUUGUGGCUCAGUGGCAGAGCGCUCGCCUCACAUGUGCGAGACCCUGGGUUUGAUCCUCAGCACCA